AGGGGAUAGCCUUUCGAAAGGAAGAUUAAUACCCCAUAAUAUAUUGAUUGGCAUCAGUUAAUAUGAAAACUCCGGUGGAUAGAGAUGGGCACGCGCAAGAUUAGAUAGUUGGUAGGGUAACGGCCCUACCAAGUCAGUGAUCUUUAGGGGGCCUGAGAGGGUGAUCCCCCACACUGGUACUGAGACACGGACCAGACUCCUACGGGAGGCAGCAGUGAGGAAUAUUGGACAAUGGGUGAGAGCCUGAUCCAGCCAUCCCGCGUGAAGGACGACGGCCCUAUGGGUUGUAAACUUCUUUUGUAUAGGGAUAAACCUUUCCACGUGUGGAAAGCUGAAGGUACUAUACGAAUAAGCACCGGCUAACUCCGUGCCAGCAGCCGCGGUAAUACGGAGGGUGCAAGCGUUAUCCGGAUUUAUUGGGUUUAAAGGGUCCGUAGGCGGAUCUGUAAGUCAGUGGUGAAAUCUCAUAGCUUAACUAUGAAACUGCCAUUGAUACUGCAGGUCUUGAGUAAAGUAGAAGUGGCUGGAAUAAGUAGUGUAGCGGUGAAAUGCAUAGAUAUUACUUAGAACACCAAUUGCGAAGGCAGGUCACUAUGUUUUAACUGACGCUGAUGGACGAAAGCGUGGGGAGCGAAAC
rnacentral:rRNA from 1 species